UACGUAGGGGGCUAGCGUUGUCCGGAAUCAUUGGGCGUAAAGCGCGUGUAGGCGGUCCGGUAAGUCCGCUGUGAAAGUCGGGGGCUCAACCCUCGGAUGCCGGUGGCUACUGUCGGGCUUGAGUACGGAAGAGGCGAGUGGAAUUCCUGGUGUAGCGGUGAAAUGCGCAGAUAUCAGGAGGAACACCAAUUGCGAAGGCAGCUCGCUGGGACGUUACUGACGCUGAGACGCGAAAGCGUGGGGAGCAAACAGG
rnacentral:rRNA from 1 species